UGAGGAAUAUUGGUCAAUGGGCGGGAGCCUGAACCAGCCAAGCCGCGUGACGGAAGAAGGCGCUAAGCGUCGUAAACGUCUUUUGCCGGGGAACAAAGGCGCGGACGCGUCCGCGUGUGAGUGUACCCGGAGAAAAGCAUCGGCUAACUCCGUGCCAGCAGCCGCGGUAAUACGGAGGAUGCGAGCGUUAUCCGGAUUUAUUGGGUUUAAAGGGUGCGUAGGCGGCCCCGUUAAGUCAGCGGUAAAAGCCCGGGGCUCAACCCGGCGAGCGUUGAAACUGGGGGGCUAGAGACGGCGAGAAGUACGCGGAAUGCGCGGUGUAGCGGUGAAAUGCAUAGAUAUCGCGCAGAACUCCGAUUGCGAAGGCAGCGUACCGGCGCCGGACUGACGCUGAGGCACGAAAGCGUGGGUAUCGAACAGGAUUAGAUACC
rnacentral:rRNA from 1 species